rnacentral:rRNA from 1 species
GGUUAAGCGACUAAGCGUACACGGUGGAUGCCCUGGCAGUCAGAGGCGAUGAAGGGCGUGCUAAUCUGCGAUAAGCGCCGGUAAGGUGAUAUGAACCGUUAUAACCGGCGAUACCCGAAUGGGGAAACCCAGUGUGAUUCGUCACACUAUCAUUAACUGAAUCCAUAGGUUAAUGAGGCGAACCGGGGGAACUGAAACAUCUAAGUACCCCGAGGAAAAGAAAUCAACCGAGAUUCCCCCAGUAGCGGCGAGCGAACGGGGAGGAGCCCAGAGCCUGAAUCAGCAUGUGUGUUAGUGGAAGCGUCUGGAAAGGUGCGCGAUACAGGGUGACAGCCCCGUACACAAAAGCGCAUGUGCUGUGAGCUCGAUGAGUAGGGCGGGACACGUGGUAUCCUGUCUGAAUAUGGGGGGACCAUCCUCCAAGGCUAAAUACUCCUGACUGACCGAUAGUGAACCAGUACCGUGAGGGAAAGGCGAAAAGAACCCCGGCGAGGGGAGUGAAAAAGAACCUGAAACCGUGUACGUACAAGCAGUGGGAGCACAGGUUUACCUGUGUGACUGCGUACCUUUUGUAUAAUGGGUCAGCGACUUAUAUUCUGUAGCAAGGUUAACCGAAUAGGGGAGCCGGAGGGAAACCGAGUCUUAAUUGGGCGUUAAGUUGCAGGGUAUAGACCCGAAACCCGGUGAUCUAGCCAUGGGCAGGUUGAAGGUUGGGUAACACUAACUGGAGGACCGAACCGACUAAUGUUGAAAAAUUAGCGGAUGACCUGUGGCUGGGGGUGAAAGGCCAAUCAAACCGGGAGAUAGCUGGUUCUCCCCGAAAGCUAUUUAGGUAGCGCCUCGUGAAUUCAUCUCCGGGGGUAGAGCACUGUUUCGGCUAGGGGGCCAUCCCGGCUUACCAACCCGAUGCAAACUGCGAAUACCGGAGAAUGUUAUCACGGGAGACACACGGCGGGUGCUAACGUCCGUCGUGAAGAGGGAAACAACCCAGACCGCCAGCUAAGGUCCCAAAGUCAUGGUUAAGUGGGAAACGAUGUGGGAAGGCCCAGACAGCCAGGAUGUUGGCUUAGAAGCAGCCAUCAUUUAAAGAAAGCGUAAUAGCUCACUGGUCGAGUCGGCCUGCGCGGAAGAUGUAACGGGGCUAAACCAUGCACCGAAGCUGCGGCAGCGAACGUAUCACCCAAGACAACUUUACGGAGUUGACGAUUGACGGAGCGAAGCGACGUCAAAGCGUUCAUUAAAGUCGAGUUGGCUUAGGGAUACGUUCGUUGGGUAGGGGAGCGUUCUGUAAGCCUGUGAAGGUGUGUCGUGAGGCAUGCUGGAGGUAUCAGAAGUGCGAAUGCUGACAUAAGUAACGAUAAAGCGGGUGAAAAGCCCGCUCGCCGGAAGACCAAGGGUUCCUGUCCAACGUUAAUCGGGGCAGGGUGAGUCGACCCCUAAGGCGAGGCCGAAAGGCGUAGUCGAUGGGAAACGGGUUAAUAUUCCCGUACUUGGUGUUACUGCGAAGGGGGGACGGAGAAGGCUAUGUUGGCCGGGCGACGGUUGUCCCGGUUUAAGCGUGUAGGUGUGUGUUCCAGGUAAAUCCGGUUCACUUUAACACUGAGGCGUGACGACGAGGCACUACGGUGCUGAAGCAACAAAUGCCCUGCUUCCAGGAAAAGCCUCUAAGCAUCAGGUAACAUCAAAUCGUACCCCAAACCGACACAGGUGGUCAGGUAGAGAAUACCAAGGCGCUUGAGAGAACUCGGGUGAAGGAACUAGGCAAAAUGGUGCCGUAACUUCGGGAGAAGGCACGCUGACACGUAGGUGAAGUGAUUUACUCAUGGAGCUGAAGUCAGUCGAAGAUACCAGCUGGCUGCAACUGUUUAUUAAAAACACAGCACUGUGCAAACACGAAAGUGGACGUAUACGGUGUGACGCCUGCCCGGUGCCGGAAGGUUAAUUGAUGGGGUCAGCGCAAGCGAAGCUCCUGAUCGAAGCCCCGGUAAACGGCGGCCGUAACUAUAACGGUCCUAAGGUAGCGAAAUUCCUUGUCGGGUAAGUUCCGACCUGCACGAAUGGCGUAAUGAUGGCCAGGCUGUCUCCACCCGAGACUCAGUGAAAUUGAACUCGCUGUGAAGAUGCAGUGUACCCGCGGCAAGACGGAAAGACCCCGUGAACCUUUACUAUAGCUUGACACUGAACAUUGAGCCUUGAUGUGUAGGAUAGGUGGGAGGCUUUGAAGUGUGGACGCCAGUCUGCAUGGAGCCGACCUUGAAAUACCACCCUUUAAUGUUUGAUGUUCUAACGUGGACCCGUAAUCCGGGUUGCGGACAGUGUCUGGUGGGUAGUUUGACUGGGGCGGUCUCCUCCUAAAGAGUAACGGAGGAGCACGAAGGUUGGCUAAUCCUGGUCGGACAUCAGGAGGUUAGUGCAAUGGCAUAAGCCAGCUUGACUGCGAGCGUGACGGCGCGAGCAGGUGCGAAAGCAGGUCAUAGUGAUCCGGUGGUUCUGAAUGGAAGGGCCAUCGCUCAACGGAUAAAAGGUACUCCGGGGAUAACAGGCUGAUACCGCCCAAGAGUUCAUAUCGACGGCGGUGUUUGGCACCUCGAUGUCGGCUCAUCACAUCCUGGGGCUGAAGUAGGUCCCAAGGGUAUGGCUGUUCGCCAUUUAAAGUGGUACGCGAGCUGGGUUUAGAACGUCGUGAGACAGUUCGGUCCCUAUCUGCCGUGGGCGCUGGAGAACUGAGGGGGGCUGCUCCUAGUACGAGAGGACCGGAGUGGACGCAUCACUGGUGUUCGGGUUGUCAUGCCAAUGGCACUGCCCGGUAGCUAAAUGCGGAAGAGAUAAGUGCUGAAAGCAUCUAAGCACGAAACUUGCCCCGAGAUGAGUUCUCCCUGAGACUUAGAGUCUCCUGAAGGAACGUUGAAGACGACGACGUUGAUAGGCCGGGUGUGUAAGCGCAGCGAUGCGUUGAGCUAACCGGUACUAAUGAACCGUGAGGCUUAACCUU